GGGUGCGUAGGCGGCCUGUUAAGUUUAUGGUGAAAGCGUGGGGCUCAACCCCAUAAAGCCAUAGAUACUGGCAGGCUAGAGUACUGGAGAGGGAAGUGGAAUUCCAUGUGUAGCGGUAAAAUGCGUAGAUAUAUGGAGGAACACCGGUGGCGAAGGCGGCUUCCUAGACAGAGACUGACGCUGAGGCACGAAAGCGUGGGGAGCAAAUAGGAUUAGAUACCCUAGUAGUCCACGCUGUAAACGAUGAGUGCUAAGUAUUGGGGCGACUCAGUGCUGCAGUUAACGCAAUAAGCACUCCGCCUGUGGAGUAUGCACGCAAGUGUGAAACAUAAAGGAAUUGACGGGGGCCCGCACAAGCGGUGGAGUAUGUGGUUUAAUUCGACGCAACGCGAAGAACCUUACCAGGCCUUGACAUCCCUUGCAAAGGUGCAGAGAUGUACUAGAGGUUAUCAAGGAGACAGGUGGUGCAUGGUUGUCGUCAGCUCGUGUCGUGAGAUGUUGGGUUAAGUCCCGCAACGAGCGCAACCCUUGCCUUCAGUUACCAAUAUUCAGUUAGGGACUCUGGAGGGACUGCCGGUGAUAAACCGGAGGAAGGUGGGGAUGACGUCAAAUCAUCAUGCCCCUUAUGGCCUGGGCUACACACGUACUACAAUGGCUGUUACAACGAGCAGCGACAUGGCGACAUGAAGCAAAUCUCUUAAAGACAGUCCCAGUUCGGAUUGGAGUCUGCAACUCGACUCCAUGAAGUUGGAAUCGCUAGUAAUCGCGGAUCAGCAUGCCGCGGUGAAUACGUUCUCGGGCCUUGUACACACCGCCCGUCAUACCAUGAGAGCUGGUAAUACCCGAAGCCGG
rnacentral:rRNA from 1 species